GUUCUUUAAUAAUACAAUCAAAAUCUUAUUUCUCUUCCUAGGCCCAGCCCGCUCUCCCUGCUCCUGCUCCCCGCUCAGAUACUAAUUGUGCUGGGAGGUAAACACGGCAGUCAAGUGGAGCGGGCGGCGAGUCAAGCGUGAAUAUCAAUCUCCCCACAUCAGUGUCGUCAGAUGACUUUGACGGAGUUCAGGGCCGGAUCGUUAGUCUGCACAGGAUUACAGGGUUACAAUGCAACAUCAGCAGUUAUUUCUUGGCAGCUCUCAGCACCAUUGGCCUUAAUAUUCAUUGAUUGGAAUGAAGAAAAGCGUUUCUAAAACCACUUUGUAAACAGCCUCUUUAGUGGAUCUCAACUAGGCCAAAUCCAGUAUGGUCUGGUCCAGCGCUGGCCUGAGGAGCAGUGGGCACCUGGUAGAGGGUCCAUCCAUCUCCAGUCUGACAAGCCCUGGCUGCAGUCCAGGCCUUUAGCACGGGCAUUACAGCAGAAGCACCAGAGACCAGCACCGGACGCUACUGCAGACAUAGAAGAGAGUGAGUGUGUGAGUGCCUGUGCCUGUGUCUGUCUGUGUGUGUGUGUGUGUGUGUGCUUGUAUGAGGGUGCAGACCCAAGUGGAAUAGGUUGAUGAAUCACCCACAAGAUGCAAAUUAAUGAACGCCAAGAUGGGAGCCAGGCAGAAACACGGCUAAACUCAAACUAUUUUACAAAAUCAUUUUGUAUAAAAAUGUGUAGGAUGCAAAUAAUUACUAUUAUAUGAUCUUAAUUACAAUUUUAUUGUAAUAAUUACCCAGUCUAAUUGAUUACACAAAUUUAUAAAUGACUAAGUAGUUCCAAGGUGCCCUAUGUAAACUAUUCUGGUGUGGGGUCUGGCACCUGCUUGACUCUGGAUAUGAGAAAUGUUCCACAGUGCAACUUAAAGUAUAAAAAAAAUGCCUUAAUAACUCAAAAAAUAAUAAAGAUGA